GAUGAACGCUGGCGGCGUGCCUAAUACAUGCAAGUCGAGCGAACGGACGAGAAGCUUGCUUCUCUGAUGUUAGCGGCGGACGGGUGAGUAACACGUGGAUAACCUACCUAUAAGACUGGGAUAACUUCGGGAAACCGGAGCUAAUACCGGAUAAUAUUUUGAACCGCAUGGUUCAAAAGUGAAAGACGGUCUUGCUGUCACUUAUAGAUGGAUCCGCGCUGCAUUAGCUAGUUGGUAAGGUAACGGCUUACCAAGGCAACGAUGCAUAGCCGACCUGAGAGGGUGAUCAGCCACACUGGAACUGAGACACGGUCCAGACUCCUACGGGAGGCAGCAGUAGGGAAUCUUCCGCAAUGGGCGAAAGCCUGACGGAGCAACGCCGCGUGUGUGAAGAAGGUCUUCGGAUCGUAAAGCUCUGUUAUUAGGGAAGAACAUAUGUGUAAUUAACUGUGCACAUCUUGACGGUACCUAAUCAGAAAGCCACGGCUAACUACGUG
rnacentral:rRNA from 1 species